UACGAGGGGGGGCAAGCGUUUGUUCGGAAUUAUUGGGCGUAAAGGGCUCGUAGGCGGCCAACUAAGUCGGAUGUGAAAUCCCCCAGGCUCAACCUGGGAACUGCAUCCGAUACUGGAUGGCUUGAAUCCGGGAGAGGGAUGCAGAAUUCCAGGUGUAGCGGUGAAAUGCGUAGAUAUCUGGAGGAAUACCGGUGGCGAAGGCGGCAUCCUGGACCGGCAUUGACGCUGAGUGAGCGAAAGCCAGGGGAGCAAACGGG
rnacentral:rRNA from 1 species